UACAGAGGGUGCGAGCGUUAAUCGGAAUUACUGGGCGUAAAGCGUGCGUAGACGGCUAUCUAAGUCGGGUGUGAAAGCCCCGGGCUCAACCUGGGAACUGCAUUCGAUACUGGACGGCUAGAGUAUGAGAGAGGUGAGUGGAAUUCCGAGUGUAGAGGUGAAAUUCGUAGAUAUUCGGAGGAACACCAGUGGCGAAGGCGGCUCACUGGCUCGAUACUGACGCUGAGGUGCGAAAGCGUGGGGAGCAAACAGG
rnacentral:rRNA from 1 species